rnacentral:tRNA from 1 species
GUCUGGGUGGCUCAGUUGGUUGAGCAUCUGACUUUGGCUCAGAUCAUGAUCUCAUGGUUCGUGGGUUCGAGCUCCACGUUGGGCU